rnacentral:rRNA from 1 species
GACGAACGCUGGCGGCGUGCCUAAUACAUGCAAGUCGAGCGAAGUGGAGAGAGCUUGCUCUCAAAGCUUAGCGGCGAACGGGUGAGUAACACGUGGGCAACCUGCCUGACAGACCGGGAUAACUUGGGGAAACUCAAGCUAAUACCGGAUAGGAUCGCAAGCCGCAUGGAUUGCGAUGGAAAGUCUGAACGACACUGUCAGAUGGGCCCGCGGCGCAUUAGCUAGUUGGUGGGGUAAUGGCCUACCAAGGCGACGAUGCGUAGCCGACCUGAGAGGGUGACCGGCCACACUGGGACUGAGACACGGCCCAGACUCCUACGGGAGGCAGCGAUAGGGAAUCUUCCACAAUGGGCGAAAGCCUGAUGGAGCAACGCCGCGUGAGUGAUGAAGGUUUUCGGAUCGUAAAACUCUGUUGUUAGGGAAGAACACCCGGGAGAGGAUCCCGGUUUG